rnacentral:rRNA from 1 species
AAUCAAGUCAUUAUUUUACCAACUAGACCCGAUCCACUUCCGAAAAAGGAAAUAUGUGCCCUCUUACAUGUCUACUAAGCCGAUAUCACGUGCCUGUUCAGUUAGUGUGUGAACAAUAGGAUAUACUGACUAUCGAAUAAGUAUGCUUGUAUUGUUGCAUCGAAAUAAGUAUUGAAAGUGUUGAUUAAUAAUUAUAGUGUUUAGUAGGCCUAAAAUAAAUGGUGACAUAUGUGAGACUAAAGGCCAGAUGAAAUACGCACUCCCCGGAAUCGUCGGCGGAUGUGCCAGAAUGCGACACCGUCUUCACCGUCGUCGCCGGCCCCCGAGUAUCGGACCGACGGAGCCGCCGGGCAUGGCGCCGCUGCCUCCAGGUAACUAUGCCCUAGGCAGGUCUUGUCGAUGUGGAUACUUGUACUAGUUAGUAGUAAGGCCGGCGGAUUAAAAUCUUU